ensembl:lncRNA
UGAUAAUUGUGAUGUUUGCUCUAUAACAUAUAUACAUGAACCUUGAGACUGUGAUAUAUAAUCAUGGACGGAGACACAUUUAGAAAGAUCCUGUCGUACUGCAUUUUAUUAUUGAAUACAAAGAAAAACAAGACACGUGUAUAAAUGCAUUGCUUCAAAACUACUCUUAGUAGCCUCAGUAAGAAGACACUUAUCCACAGCAAAAUAUUACAACCCCCUUUUUUUAAAGAAACAUAGCAUUUGAAAUAAAUACGUUUGGAUGAUAACAUCUUGCUGAUUGCAUUGGGGGCAAUGCACUUUCACACUAUUUACAGUUUAAAUCUGACUAAAUAAUCAUCACCGUCUCACAGACCCUCAGUGCUCACAGAAACUGUUGCCCUUUACAUUCAAACCUCAUCCCUUCAUCGUCACAUUCUAUUUUUAAAUGUGCUUUUGUCAAGGAACCAAAAGUGAAAACUACACAUUUUUCCCAUUACCAGAAUGUACAGUGUACUGUAUACUGUAUAAAGACAGGACAAUGUACCAGAUAUAACUUGGUGUCAAACAGAAUAUGAAUGUGACCAACAUGUCCCUCUUGAAGGUGACAUAAAGUAGACUAUACAGGUUACAUAAAGUAGACUAUACAGGUUACAUAGAGUAGACUAUACAGGUUACAUAAAGUAGACUGUACAGGUUACAUAAAGUAGACUAUACAGGUUACAUAGAGUAGACUAUACAGGUUACAUAAAGUAGACUAUACAGGUUACAUAAAGUAGACUAUACAGGUUACAUAGAGUAGACUGUACAGGUUACAUAAAGUAGACUAUACAGGUUACAUAGAUUAGAUUAUACAGGUUACAUAAAGUAGACUAUACAGGUCACAUAAAGUAGACUAUAGAGGUCACAUAAAGUAGACUAUACAGGCUACAUAAAGUAGACUAUACAGGUUACAUAGAGUAGACUAUACAGGUUACAUAGAGUAGACUAUACAGGCUACAUAAAGUAGACUAUACAGGCUACAUAAAGUAGACUAUACAGGUUACAUAGAGUAGACUAUACAGGUUACAUAAAGUAGACUAUACAGGUUACAUAAAGUAGACUAUACAGGUUACAUAAAGUAGACUGUACAGGUUACAUAAAGUAGACUAUACAGGCUACAUAGAGUAGACUAGACAGGUCACAUAAAGUAGACUAUACAGGUUAAAUAAAGUAGACUAUAGAGGUCACAUGAAGUAGACUAUAGAGGUCACAUAAAGUAGACUAUACAGGCUACAUAAAGUAGACUAUACAGGUUACAUAAAGUAGACUAUACAGGUUACAUAAAGUAGACUAUAGAGGUCACAUAAAGUAGACUAUAGAGGUCACAUAAAGUAGACUAUACAGGCUACAUAAAGUAGACUAUACAGGUUACAUAGAGUAGACUAUACAGGUUACAUAAAGUAGACUAUACAGGCUACAUAAAGUAGACUAUACAGGUUACAUAGAGUAGACUGUACAGGUUACAUAAAAUAGACUAUACAGGUUACAUAAAGUAGACUAUACAGGUUACAUAGAGUAGACUAUAGAGGUCACAUAAAGUAGACUAUACAGGUUAAAUAAAGUAGACUAUAGAGGUCACAUAAAGUAGACUAUACAGGUUACAUAAAGUAGACUAUACAGGCUACAUAAAGUAGACUAUACAGGUUACAUAGAGUAGACUGUACAGGCUACAUAAAGUAGACUAUACAGGUUACAUAGAGUAGACUAUACAGGUUACAUAAAGUAGACUAUGCAGGCUACAUAAAGUAGACUAUACAGGUUACAUAGAGUAGACUAUACAGGUUACAUAAAGUAGACUAUAGAGGUCACAUAAAGUAGACUGUACAGGUUACAUAAAAUAGACUAUACAGGCUACAUAGAUUAGAUUAUACAGGUUACAUAAAGUAGACUAUACAGGUUACAUAAAGUAGACUAUAGAGGUCACAUAAAGUAGACUGUACAGGUUACAUAGAUUAGAUUAUACAGGUUACAUAAAGUAGACUGUACAGGUUACAUAAAGUAGACUAUACAGGUUACAUAAAGUAGACUAUACAGGUUACAUAAAGUAGACUAUACAGGUUACAUAAAGUAGACUAUACAGGUUACAUAAAGUAGACUAUACAGGUUACAUAAAGUAGACUAUACAGGUUACAUAGAGUAGACUAUAGAGGUCACAUAAAGUAGACUAUACAGGCUACAUAAAGUAGACUAUACAGGUUACAUAGAGUAGACUGUACAGGUUACAUAAAGUAGACUAUACAGGUUACAUAGAGUAGACUAUACAGGUUACAUAGAGUAGACUAUACAGGUUACAUAAAGUAGACUAUACAGGUUACAUAGAGUAGACUAUACAGGUUACAUAAAGUAGACUAUACAGGUUACAUAGAGUAGACUGUACAGGUUACAUAAAGUAGACUAGACAGGUUACAUAAAGUAGACUAUACAGGUUACAUAAAGUAGACUAUACAGGUUACAUAGAGUAGACUGUACAGGUUACAUAAAGUAGACUAUACAGGUUACAUAAAGUAGACUAUACAGGUUACAUAAAGUAGACUAUACAGGUAGACAUAAAGUAGACUAUACAG